GGGCGUGGCCAUGGCUGCGAAAUUGUCACUCUUUUGCUACAGGAAAAAUGAAAGGCUUUCCCAACUGGGACGACAUAUAGUGAAACAUCAGGGAUUAUAGACGCCAGAAGUUACCCGGUUGGGGGGAGCGAUUAAAGGGAAGGGCGAGACUUGGGUCGGGAUAGGCUGAGGAGUGAGAUCGAGGGGCGAGGUGGACGACGCGGGGCAGGGUGGGCCCGAGAGUGGGCCCGGGCAGCGGACUCGAUUUCGGCUUCCGAAUAAGCAAGAGGAAUAGGAGUCUUUGAUAGUUUACCAGGACCAGUUAUGCAUUGUUCGAUUCCACCAGCGGUUUUAGAGAAACGAUUCUGUCAGGCCCUGUGAUGGGCACGAGACAGGGAGAUGAUGUUGAAUUCCCCGGAGAGAUGUGUACAGAAGGGGAAGGGAGGUUGAUGUCUAUGGAACAGAUGGAGGGUCGUGGGCCGCGUUCCCAAAAGGUACAGGAGCGGUGCUAAAUUGGUCCCGUCAACCCAAUCCCACCUGGACUGCUGGAGACACUGGGUUCUGGGAGACUCUCAGCCUUAAGCCAGAAGCAAAGAUGGGCACCAUUCCUGAGAAACAGAAUCACUGGAUUGUGGGUUCUUGGAGGACAGGGUCAUUUCCCAGGAAACUUGUGAUCCACCGAGGAUGGAAACACAGGUUGAAGACUUUCAGCAUCCUUGCUGCUGUACACAUCUGCGAUCCUUGAUU